rnacentral:rRNA from 1 species
CAAAGUCAUAAUUAAGUGGGAAACGAAGUGGGAAGGCUCAGACAGCCAGGAUGUUGGCUUAGAAGCAGCCAUCAUUUAAAGAAAGCGUAAUAGCUCACUGGUCGAGUCGGCCUGCGCGGAAGAUGUAACGGGGCUAAAUUAUGCACCGAAGCCGCGGCAGCGAUAUGUAAAUAUUGUUGGGUAGGGGAGCGUUCUGUAAGCCUGUGAAGGUGACCUGUGAGGGUUGCUGGAGGUAUCAGAAGUGCGAAUGCUGACAUAAGUAACGAUAAUGCGGGUGAAAAACCCGCACGCCGGAAGACCAAGGGUUCCUGUCCAACGUUAAUCGGGGCAGGGUGAGUCGACCCCUAAGGCGAGGCUGAAAAGCGUAGUCGAUGGGCAACGGGUUAAUAUUCCCGUACUGGUGGUAACUGCGAAGGGGGGACGGAGAAAGCUAAAUCAUCCGGGCGACGGUUGUCCCGGUUUAAGCGUGCAGGUGGACUGACCAGGCAAAUCCGGUCGGUUGUUAACACUGAGGCGUGACGACGAGCCACUACGGUGGUGAAGUGAUUGAUGCUCUGCUUCCGGGAAAAGCCUCUAAGCUCCAGGUUA